rnacentral:rRNA from 1 species
UACAGAGGUCUCGAGCGUUAGGUGCGGAAAUCACUGGGCUUAAAGCGUGUGUAGGCGGAUCGUUAAGUACCUUGUGAAAUCCCACGGCUUAACCGUGGAACUGCUUGGUAAUACUGGCGUCUUGAGCCAGCUGAGGGGCUACCGGGAACAAAAUGGUGGAGCGGUGAAAUGACGUAGAUAUCAUUUGGAACGCCCAAUGGUGAAAACAGGUAGCUGGGGCUGUGCUGA